ACUUUGGUGGCGACCGGCGCACGGGUGCGUAACGCGUAUGCAACCUACCUUUAACAGGGGCAUAACACUGAGAAAUUGGUACUAAUUCCCCAUAACAUUCGAGAAGGCAUCUUCUUGGGUUAAAAACUCCGGUGGUUAAAGAUGGGCAUGCGUUGUAUUAGCUAGUUGGUGAGGUAACGGCCCACCUAGUCUUCGAUGGAUAGGGGUUCUGAGAGGAAGGUCCCCCACAUUGGAACUGAGACACGGUCCAA
rnacentral:rRNA from 1 species